rnacentral:lncRNA from 1 species
UUUAACUUUCUCAAAGAGAGCCAUGUUCUGCAACCCCCACACUCCUUGGCAGCUCGUAAAAUUUUAUGACCACACAGGACCACAGGACAGGAAAUCUAAUCCUUACAAAAGAAUGGUAAAAUGUACUCAAAUGUAGUCUUAAUGGAUAUAGUAUUGUUUUUGCGGUACAUUAGAGGUUUCCCAUAUAAAUCGGGACUAUCUGCAGUGUUAUCAUGUGUUAAUCAAAUCUUUUAAUGUGUGUAAUUCUGCAUUUGAAUGUAACUUCAUGUUUUGAUCAUUUAUAUAUAUUGUUUUUAGUAUCUGUGUAAUCUUCAUGCUUUGACAGACCCAUUUAUCUAGAGCAAAGUAAUGAAAAAUGUAUUUAAUCUGGAAUUACGAACUUGCUAGAAUAUCCCUGAUGAAAUCGGACAAGCCCUAAAUCACUAGGGGGUUGUUUCCACAGAGACAAAUAAACUUUUCCCCCGCUUCAGAUCGCAGACGUUCAUUGGCUGUUCACGCAAAAAGAGGCGUGAUCCAUCCCAAGCCAUAAGAACCGACCGGACAAGAUCCGCCCUCUCUUCUCUUCUUCUCGUUCUUCGCUCUCGGACACGCUGCUCUCCUGUGCGACCAACGUCGAUCCCGCGCGGCCUUGGGCCGCGCUCAUUUCGCCGUCCCCCUCAGAACAGGGACUGAGGAGAGGAAAGCCAUUUUCAUGGCUCCUUUGGAAGCUUUCGUUUUUGUUGUUUGUUUUCUUUUCUUUACUAAGUUUAUUCAACUAUUCGCCUCUCCACACAAGGAAGACGAAUUCUGGAACAUUGUUUGUUGAACCUUUCAAAUACCGCAUGAAGACAGAACAAAGGCCGCUCCCGCUGCUCCACGCUCACGCCAAGAUCCAGCGCAGCUUGCACGCGCGUAACACGGCCUCCGGCACACGCGCACAGUUUUCAAAAGGACCAGCGCACAAAGCGUCACAAAAAGACCACGCUCACGCACGAUGGGCCAUGCAACUGAGGACACGUUCAAGCUUCAUUCGGUGCAGCUCGAGCUUGAGGUCAUGGAGAAGCAGAUUUGCGACCUGGAGGUGAGGCAGGCCCAGCUGACAGAGCGGAGAGCCGCGCUGGAAUCAUCCCGGGCUGACGCUCACAA